rnacentral:rRNA from 1 species
UUUGGGGGCUGUGGUCUAUUUCGAAACUUGACCUCAAAUCAGGUAGGACUACCCGCUGAACUUAAGCAUAUCAAUAAGCGGAGGAAAAGAAACUAACAAGGAUUCCCCUAGUAACUGCGAGUGAAGCGGGAAGAGCUCAAAUUUUGAAUCUGGCGGCGUUUCGUCGUCCGAGUUGUAAUCUAGAGAAGCGUCUUCCGCGCUGGACCGUGUACAAGUCUCCUGGAAGGGAGCGUCAUAGAGGGUGAGAAUCCCGUCUUUGACACGGACUACCAGUGCUAUGUGAUGCGCUCUCGACGAGUCGAGUUGUUUGGGAAUGCAGCUCAAAACGGGUGGUAAAUUCCAUCUAAAGCUAAAUACAUGCGAGAGACCGAUAGCGAACAAGUACCGUGAGGGAAAGAUGAAAAGAACUUUGGAAAGAGAGUUAAACAGUACGUGAAAUUGCUGAAAGGGAAACGCUUGAUGUCAGUCGCGUUGGCUGGGGAUCAACCUUGCUUCUCGCUGGGUGUACUUCCCGGUCGACGGGUCAGCAUCAGUUUCGGUCGCCGUACAAGGGCGAGGGGAAUGUGGCACUCCUCGGAGUGUGUUAUAGCCUUUCGUCGUAUGCGGCGGUGGGGACUGAGGAACUCAGCACGGCUUYGGUUUGUGCUUAGGAUGCUGGCAUAAUGGCCUUAAGCGACCCG